AGUGAACGCUGGCGGUAGGCCUAACACAUGCAAGUCGAACGGCAGCACAGUAAGAGCUCGCUCUUACGGGUGGCGAGUGGCGGACGGGUGAGGAAUACAUCGGAAUCUACUUUUUCGUGGGGGAUAACGUAGGGAAACUUACGCUAAUACCGCAUACGACCUACGGGUGAAAGCAGGGGAUCUUCGGACCUUGCGCGAUUGAAUGAGCCGAUGUCGGAUUAGCUAGUUGGCGGGGUAAAGGCCCACCAAGGCGACGAUCCGUAGCUGGUCUGAGAGGAUGAUCAGCCUCACUGGAACUGAGACACGGUCCAGACUCCUACGGGAGGCAGCAGUGGGGAAUAUUGGACAAUGGGCGCAAGCCUGAUCCAGCCAUACCGCGUGGGUGAAGAAGGCCUUCGGGUUGUAAAGCCCUUUUGUUGGGGAAGAAAAGCAGCAGGUUAAUACCCCGCUGUUCUGACGGUACCCAAAGAAUAAGCACCGGCUAACUUCGUG
rnacentral:rRNA from 1 species